UUUCCCCGCAAGGGGAGACUGAGUGGCGAACGGGUGAGUAACGCGUGGGUGACCUACCUUCGAGUGGGGGAUAACGUCCCGAAAGGGACGCUAAUACCGCAUGACAUCCUGUCCUUGAACGGAUGGAGAUCAAAGCUGGGGAUCGCAAGACCCGGCGCUUGAUGAGGGGCCCGCGUCCGAUUAGCUAGUUGGUGAGGUAACGGCUCACCAAGGCGACGAUCGGUAUCCGGCCUGAGAGGGCGGACGGACACACUGGGACUGAGACACGGCCCAGACUCCUACGGGAGGCAGCAGUGGGGAAUUGUUCGCAAUGGGCGCAAGCCUGACGACGCAAUGCCGCGUGGAGGAUGAAGGUCUUCGGAUUGUAAACUCCUGUUGCCAGGGACGAAUGGCUCCGACCUAACACGUCGGAGUAUGACGGUACCUGGUGAGGAAGCCCCGGCUAACUCUGUGCCAGCAGCCGCGGUAAUACAGAGGGGGCGAGCGUUGUUCGGAAUUACUGGGCGUAAAGGGCGCGUAGGCGGCCUUCUAAGUCGAACGUGAAAUCCCCGGGCUCAACCCGGGAACUGCGUCCGAUACUGGGAGGCUUGAAUCCGGGAGAGGGAUGUGGAAUUCCAGGUGUAGCGGUGAAAUGCGUAGAUAUCUGGAGGAACACCGGUGGCGAAGGCGGCAUCCAGGACCGGUAUUGACGCUGAGGCGCGAAAGCUAGGGGAGCAAACGGGAUUAGAUACCCCGGUAGUCCUAGCCCUAAACGAUGAAUGCUUGGUGUGGCGGGUAUCGAUCCCUGCCGUGCCGAAGCUAACGCAUUAAGCAUUCCGCCUGGGGAGUACGGUCGCAAGGCUG
rnacentral:rRNA from 1 species